GGCAGGCAAGCUCAGAAGUUCCCUUAAUAAGCUAUAUUCCUACCACCUUUUUCCCCCCCUGUCAGAGACGUCUGAGCCCCACACAGGAACCAGGCUCACAUUGUUCAAUAGCCACCGACGUUUCCACAGUAGCUGGGAGGGCCGAAAGCUCUUUCCGCUCUUUGUUGCAAUUUUUUUUUUUAUUUUUUCCUUCCUUCUUCCAACUUUCCAGUUAAAGAAUAUUGCUGGGGCAUUUCUGAAGUAAUUCAGGCUGAGCUUCAGAGAAAAGAACAAGAGACAGGUGUAACUGGGGGGGAAGAAGCGCAGGAUGCUCGUGAAGCUUUUGCUGGUCUGCAGUACGGUAGGACUGGCAAAGCUGGUGGAACAUGCAGACCAUCACGGAUAUCGUGAUGGUUCCGUGCACAGCCUAAAGCCACGAGCUCAUGAGACCUCUGCACACCCCCAGAGAGCUCUGCCACGCCAAGAAGGUUACUGGGAGGCAGAAGGGCUCAGGGAGGAUACUCAAGAUUACCCUUCAAGUGUGAUCUCCUCACAUCAGGAAGAGAGAGGGGAUUUUGAAGCUGAGAGCCCACAGCCCCGAAAUGGGAACUGGUGUUCCUUCACGCAGUCCCGGCUGGUCACAUACAUAGAAGCCUGCAUGAAGGAGAAGUACAUUGUCAACUCCCAACAGCCCUGCCCAAACGGAGCCCCAGACUGCCAGAAGAUCAUGUACAGGACAGCUCUGAAGCCAGUCUACCAAGUGAAACAGAAGGCUUUGAAGUCUUUGCAGUGGAAAUGCUGCCCUGGAUUUACUGGCAAGGACUGUGAACAACGUGAUCCUAAUUUUAUUCUGCUGCCAGGAACUGAAACUGAAGGACGAGAAGAAGAGUUCUCAAACCACAUGUCAACAUCAGUGGAUUCAAGAGAAAUGUUCGAAGUCAUUCAAAAUCAUGAGGCUUUACUGGAUGAUCUUCAAAGUGAUAUUCAUCAAGCAGCCAGCACCUUAGGUGACUUACAGAGACUAUUUGAAAACAACGGUACAAGCAUGGUGUUAGAAGUGAACCAGAGCAAUUCAGCUGUAUUAACAGAUCAUCAAGAAAGGCUUCUGCAGCAAGUUUUGUUUCCUCAUGUGGAGAAUUUUCUUAGGAGACAUUUUAACCCAAUGUGGGCAAGCUUCAACAGAAGCUUACAGAACCUCUCCAACAUAGUAAGAAACCUGUCCCAUGAUGUGGAAGCCAACAGGAAAAGCAUAGAAAGGUUCCAAGAGAGCACUGUGCCCAAGAAGGAAUUCCAGGAGCUGGGAACGAAAUUUGAAUCCAAAGUCCAAGAAAACAUCAUGAAAGUUGAUCAGGCAAAAAGAGAUAUAGAGUACCAAGUGCACAUGCAGCAGGCUAAUAUUCAUUAUAAUCUCAGCAUGAUCAAGGCAGAUACUGACACGAAACUCAAGAAGCUUCAUAAGAUACAGCAUUCCCAUUUCUCAGUUUUGAACAACAGCAUAGCAAACAUGAAACAAGAGCAAAAUCUUCUUGAAAAUAAAUUGGAGGCUUUGAAAAAAAAUUUAACAGAACUCUCUUCUCAUCAUGGUCCCAAAGACGAAAGCAGCCAAUUAACCAUCAAACAAAUGAAUGACAUUCUGUCAGGGCAUGCAAAGCAGCUUAAAGAACUUUACAUGGAGUCAGAUGUGGCCUUUCAGAAUAUUGCAGUUUUAGAGAGGUGGUUUAAGGAGUUAAAGAAAAACAUCUCCAAGUAUAGACCAGAAGAUAUUACAAUAACUUUGGCUGAGAAAUCAGUUAUUAUGGAAGAAAACAAUGCAGCAAUGGAAAGGCAGAUAUCAGACCUCAACUACACUCUCUCAAACCUUCAGGAAAACUAUUCAGAUCUGCUGCGGUACAUGGAGGAAUGCAAUUGUCAGAGAUUAUCUUCUGACACUGAUGUACUGAAGGAAGAUCUCAGGAAUAGCACUUAUUCCCUUGAAGAUAUCCAGCCAAAGGAUAUGAAGCACUUGGAAUUAGUUUUCAGAGAUUUCUUCAAGAGUGAAAUUGAAGAGCUCUCCUCAGCUAUUCCAUCCAUCCAUCUAUCUCUUAACCUCCGUCAAGAAGAGAACAGACAGCUUCAGUCACAGGUUACUGCUUUUUCAGAAGACAUAGGCUUGCUGAAGAAGAAAGAUGAAGAAAUUCAUCGACACAUCAAGUAUCUCAACAGUUCUUUUAGCUCUCUUUUGAAAGAUGCAAUGCGGCACGAAGAAGCACUGGAGGCUUUACUGAGACACGAAUUUCUGGAUGUCUUUUUUGAAGAUGACUUUAGUAGCCUAAUACCAUCAGUAUUUCAGCUUCAAGAAUCUCUCAGAUACUUCUCAGAUAAACUGCAAGAACAAAAUGUGACUUUAGAAUCUCUUGCAAGGAGAUUUCAUCCCUUGCAGAGACGUCACCAGAAUAAUCAUGAUGCUCACAUGCCUCCUAAGCACCCCAAGGAAGAAACACAAACCUCCUCUACUCUACAUGAAGUCAGCAGUCAACGCAGCAUCAUAGAACACAUGGAACCUAACUAUGAGGCUGCCAAAGAUGAUUCCUUGGACAGCUCAGCUUAUAAUGAUAUCAUGACUCUGAAGAAUGAUAUCAAACAUCUGAGCUUGGCAAUCAAGAGGCAUGAAUCCAGAGGUGACGUUACUCUCUGCAGCAACCACACAAUGGCAAAUGCAAUUGAGCCACUCAACGCUUCUGUAGAAACUCUCUCUGCAGAUUUAGAAACCGUCAAACGGAAUCUGGAGGAACAUCUGCUGACUUUUAAAAAGCUAUUUGGAACUAAUGAAGAAUUAGUUGACUCAAAUAUAAGUCUGGAUGUUACAAAGAUUCAGUCAAUGCUGAACAAAAAAGGGAGAAGGCAACAGAAAGGUCAAGACAAGCAAAGAGACAAGAAGAGGCCUGAAAAGCACAGAGGAAAUACACAAAUGAUAAGUGGAAGAAAUACAGGACAGACAGAACUUGUGGAAAAAGACUCAUUGGUGGCAUUCCAUGUAGGAUUCUCAGAAAGAAAGGAUAAAGAAAAAACCGUGAGGUUUAAUGAAACAUACCUCAAUUAUGGAAACAGCUAUUUUUCUGAACACGGCCACUUUAAAGCACCACACAAAGGUGUCUACCUGUUUGUCAUCUCUGUGGAGUUCAGCUCAGGACCAGCACUGGGACAACUCUCCUUCAGCCGUGGGUACAAAAGAACUCUCUCAAGCAGUCAGAGGAAAAGCCCACAUGGAAACACCAUGACCACUUUUGCUAUGGCAGAAAUGGAGAAGGGGGAGACAGUGUGCUUUGAAUUGCUGCACGGCUCUGUAGUGAAACGAAGUCCACCUGGGACAACUAUGGGUGGAUUCCUAAUAUCUAAAACUUGAAUAACGACAUUUAUGUUUUAUUAAUCUCUUUCCAUAGAUGAAAUGGAUGCAUUCACUAUUGCUUCAUCUGUGAUGUAUUCAAUGCUACUGCAUGUGUUUAAACAUAGCACUACCCUAGGUUUGUCUUCAUGCUUCUUUUCUGGAAGUGUUUGGCUUUUGAUUAGUUGCUUAUGAGCAGCAAUGGGAUUUUCCUUCAAGUGAAAAGCUAACAGUUUGGACUCCAGAUGUACCAACACACACAUUCCAAAAUCCUUCCAAUGUGAGAAUUGCACAUAAAUGUUUUGUGGGACUUUCUUCACUUUUAACACAAAUUUCUCCUUUCCCUUGGCAAAAGAAUAUCCUCCCAUGGCAAAUACCCCCAUCAGUGGCAAGGAAAAGAUUUUAGCUAGGACUACACACUCUCAUGUCGAUGGUACCUUAAAACCCAGAAGCCAGGGAAAUUUUACCUUUUAGUUCUCUGUGGACCACAGACUAUCUUGGAAACUUCUGCAACUCACUCCAAUGUUUCAGUCUGUGCACAACAGGAACACUAGAGGAGAUCCAUCAAACCCAGUAAAAUUCACUCUAUUGCCAGUAUCUGCAAGCAAGGAUCUUGUAAAUAGCCCACUCUGUUUCUGGGCCUGUGAUGUAUUUCAGCUACACUGCAAAAAUUUAAAGCAUUGUUAAGAUGAAUUACAUUUACAUUUGGACACUAGGAAAAUGUCAACGAUAUUUUAGAAAUAUUGGUAAAAAUGCAAUUUAUUUUUACAGUUAAUCCUGGAGAUUAUCAUGAAUUCAGCCCAGAGUUCAGCCUCUAGUGAGUAUUUUAAAACCAAGCAAACAAAACUAAAACCAAAAGGCAAGCUCAUUGGUCUGGUGUCACCACUGAAUAGAAAUCUGUAAUUAGAGUAAACAAAGACUACAACUUGUGAAAUGUAGAGGGUUUGUUUUUUUUUUAAAUUUCCAAAACUUCAAGGUGACCACGCCUGGUCAUGUCUUAAACUCUUCUUCUGUCAAAUAAAACUUCCUAAAGACUUUCACUUUAAAGAAGGUCAAUUAUUGUGGUAUUUUUGUCUAUCCUAAUACCUUACAAAGCAAUAUGAAAACAAUUAAAUUUGCCAAAAUGAAAUGCACUUUGAAAUUUCCAGUACUUUUGAUGACAAUAUAAAUUCUUAUUAUGUAAAUUGCACCCUUUUAAGGUAGAAUUUUUUAACAAAUCUAUUCUGCUGUUAAGAAUUUUCUCCCCACCUACCUGUAUUCUAAGCAAUGCUGAACUAUCAUUACUUGUUAAACACCCCAAACACAUCGGUACCAACACACAAUGCACUUAAAGCAACACUUUGACAAGCAGAUAAUACAUAUCUUUUGAAAUAAAGCUACAAAGCAAUUUCAGCUACUGACUUGCUGAGAAGAUUGUUUUCUCUAUCCUGAAAAAUCAAAGAAAACUAGCAACAAAAAUUGCUCCUUAUAUCCUGCUGGCCAAUGCUGAUUUCCACAGAUGCCCAGGUGUCCCUGUUUUUCUAGCACAGAGCCACUGCUCACACUGCUCUGCUACAGGCAGCACCAAGUGCCUGCAAAAUCAGUGUCCCUUUCUGUCCCACUUUUGCUCAAAAUAUCUGAGGGAAGAAAAAGAAGAAUAAAAUUGAAGAGGUAAAAUGAAGAAAACCAUCAAAUUGUAAGAUUAGGUUCUUUCAGUAGAAAGCUACCAAUCCUGGGUGUCUCGGAUGGGUUUUUACCAGUGUUCCUCCAAUUCCUGACUUUUGCGGUGGCAGUGUUCAGUAGAGCCAGGCCAAGUGUGCUGCCUAGGCCAGGGUGGUUCAAGGAACACCUCAUCUUCAGCACACACCAAUUCUGCACCUACCAGCCAAGUUCCACAAAUAAAUACCGCCAGGGAAUACAUAUCUCGCAUAUGGGGGAUAUGAUACGCAUAUAUAUUUCAAAACACUUUAUUUUUAAAGUUUUGACAGAAAGCUUCAACUGGAAUGAAAACCACUUGGAAAUGGACACAGGAAGUAGCACUGCAGUUCAUCCAGCCAGGACUUCUACAGGACACAGCACCACCCGGUGGACGUUUCCCGAAACGAGACCGAGAGAAAAGGCUGCUCAUGAAAACACGGACAGGUGCAAAAACACUUGGCCACAAUUUUCUUUAUGUCCUCCUGCAAGGCUAACAUGAAAUCCAAGUUUUAAAUCCAACCACGACCACUGCAAUCAGUGAAGACAUUCCAUUCUACAAGCAACGUAAUAGCCACAACCAUAGGAAAAAGGUUUACUUUGCCAAGAUACUAAUUUAAGGAGACCAAAUCUUCAGGCAGUCUUAUUUCCUGGUAUUUAUGUGUUAAGAAAUGUUUGAAACUACAUCACUAAUCUUUCCACUGCACUUGCCAGAACUAUACUGCAAGAAUCUAACUUGAUUGUAUAGGGAAAACAAAUCAAGGCUUCUAAUUAUAGUAUACUGGUAACAGUUUUUAUGAUGUUCAGAUAUCAAGCUUUUCUAGCUACUGUAAAAAAUAUGUAUUUAAAUAUAAGAUUAUUCCUGAUUAAAUGCAAAAAGAGAACAGAAACUGAUCUUACUUAUUUCUCCUUGUAAACUAAAGGUGAAAUCGAUGGAGAGUAGAAGCCAAUACAUUUCUGCAAUGAGAAAACAAAUGGUGACACUUUGUUUAUAGUACUCACAGGUGAGAUAUCCCCUUGAAUGGUCUUCAUUUGCUUGAAUCAUAAAAACCAGAGUAAAUUUAGGAUAUAAAGAAGCAUCUGCAUAUUUUUGCAACAAGCAGUAUAUACACGUAUUAAACUCAAAUCUCCUAAUUCGGAUACUAUUACACAAUAAGAACAUUGUAUACAGAGGGAACAAAAAGCAAUUACAAACUUCCCCAACCCUUUAUUUUUUCUCUUUUUACCUGAUAGGCUUGAGGCAAAUUUAUAUGGAUAAAACCAACAUGCAGUGAACUUGCAUAUGUUCAAAUGAAAGUAUUAUUUGAUUUUGACUUGCCCCUGGGCUUUGCUGCAACACACGGAUAAAAAUCAGGAGAAGGAAACAUUGUUUCUAACUGUUGCACCCAAAUUUAAAUUUUGUGUGAGGAAUAAAGAGCACCAAGUAAUUUUCAGUAUCAUUGAACAAUAAAAGCAAUAAUUAACAACUUACUCAGAGGCUGUGAGGGGAAAAAAACGAUAAACGAGGUAUGAAAAAGUAGGGAAUUAUUUAGUUACAGUAUUAUUUCCAAGUCAUUACAUUUUUCAGGCAAAAUCUUAUAGUAACAAAACACAUUACUAAUGUGUACUAAAAUAAGGUUAUUUACUUAAAAAUGAUACAUUGGACAUAAUCUGUGUACAGAACAAGCAAAUCAUGGUAAACUCAAUAAGGCACCUUCUAAAGCAGAUGCUGUACAAAAUACAUUAGUGUGUUACAUUUUUAAAGUAGUAUUCUACACUUCUGGCACAUAACACACACAAGAGUGUGACCAUUUGUCUUGUUCCACUCUUCUUUCAUAUUUUAUUUACAUCUUCUCUAGGUUAACUACAAUGUUAUUUAUUCUUCUUGUAUACAAUAUAGUACAUUUCAUUUUGGGCAUGUCAUGUCAGAGCACAAAUGUCACUACAUGAUGUGGGCUUCUAUAAUUGCA